rnacentral:tRNA from 1 species
UAAGUGAUAGCCCAUGCACCUAUCUGUUAAUUAGGAAAAACAUAAUAAGAUAUGUUCACUUAG